rnacentral:rRNA from 1 species
UACGUAGGGGGCUAGCGUUGUCCGGAAUCAUUGGGCGUAAAGAGCGCGUAGGCGGCCCGGUAAGUCCGCUGUAAAAGUCCAGGGCUCAACCCUGGAAAGCCGGUGGAUACUGUCGGGCUCGAGUCCGGAAGAGGCGAGUGGAAUUCCUGGUGUAGCGGUGGAAUGCGCAGAUAUCAGGAGGAACACCAAUGGCGAAGGCAGCUCGCUGGGACGGUACUGACGCUGAGGCGCGAAAGCAUGGGGAGCGAACAGG